rnacentral:rRNA from 1 species
UACGUAGGGGGGCAAGCGUUGUCCGGAUUUAUUGGGCGUAAAGAGCGUGUAGGCGGCUAGAUAGGUCCGUUGUGAAAACUCGAGGCUCAACCUCGAGACGUCGAUGGAAACCAUCUGGCUAGAGUCCGGAAGAGGAGAGUGGAAUUCCUGGUGUGAGCGGUGAAAUGCGCAGAGUAUCAGGAAGAACACCCGUGGCGAAGGCGGCUCUCUGGUACGUGAGCUGACGCUGAGACGCGAAAGCGUGGGGAGCAAACAGGG